rnacentral:rRNA from 1 species
CAGCAGUGGGGAAUAUUGGACAAUGGGCGAAAGCCUGAUCCAGCAAUGCCGCGUGAGUGAUGAAGGCCUUAGGGUUGUAAAGCUCUUUUACUGGGGAUGAUAAUGACAGUACCCAGAGAAUAAGCUCCGGCUAACUCCGUGCCAGCAGCCGCGGUAAUACGGAGGGAGCUAGCGUUGUUCGGAAUUACUGGGCGUAAAGCGCGCGUAGGCGGUUUAUCAAGUCAGAGGUGAAAUCCCGGGGCUCAACCCCGGAACUGCCUUUGAAACUAGUAAACUAGAAUCUUGGAGAGGUCAGUGGAAUUCCGAGUGUAGAGGUGAAAUUCGUAGAUAUUCGGAAGAACACCAGUGGCGAAGGCGACUGACUGGACAAGUAUUGACGCUGAGGUGCGAAAGCGUGGGGAGCAAACAGGAUUAAUUACCCUGGUAGA